UACGAAGGGGGCUAGCGUUGUUCGGAAUUACUGGGCGUAAAGGGCGCGUAGGCGGCCGGCUAAGUUAGAUGUGAAAGUCCUGGGCUCAACCUGGGGACUGCAUUUAAUACUGGUUGGCUUGAAUUCGGGAGAGGAUAGCGGAAUUCCCAGUGUAGAGGCGAAGUUCGUAGAUAUUGGGAAGAACACCGGUGGCGAAGGCGGCUAUCUGGACCGACAUUGACGCUGAGGCGCGAAAGCGUGGGGAGCAAACAGG
rnacentral:rRNA from 1 species